UACGGGGGGGGCAGGCGUUGUUCGGAAUUACUGGGCGUAAAGGGCUCGUAGGUGGCCAACUAAGUCGGACGUGAAAUCCCUCGGCUUAACCGGGGAACUGCGUCCGAUACUGGUUGGCUUGAGUUUGGGAGAGGGAUGCGGAAUUCCCGGUGUAGCGGUGAAAUGCGUAGAUAUCGGGAAGAACAUCAAAGGCGAAAGCGCUCUGCUGGGCCGAAACUGACACUGAGAGACGAAAGCUAGGGGAGCGAAUGGG
rnacentral:rRNA from 1 species